GACGAACGCUGGCGGCGUGCUUAACACAUGCAAGUCGAACGGAAACGCCCUGCUUUUGUGGGGUGCUCGAGUGGCGAACGGGUGAGUAACACGUGAGUAACCUGCCCUUGACUUUGGGAUAACUUCAGGAAACUGGGGCUAAUACCGGAUAGGAGCCCCUGCUGCAUGGUGGGGGUUGGAAAGUUUCGGCGGGUGGGGAUGGACUCGCGGCUUAUCAGCUUGUUGGUGGGGUAGUGGCUUACCAAGGCUUUGACGGGUAGCCGGCCUGAGAGGGUGACCGGCCACAUUGGGACUGCGAUACGGCCCAGACUCCUACGGGAGGCAGCAGUCGGAAGUAUUACCCAGCGGGCCGGAGCCUGAGGCAGCAACGCCGCGUGCGGGAAGACGGCCUUCGGGGAGUAAACCGCUUUCGCCUAUGACGAAGCGGGAGUGACGGUAAUGGAUAAAGAAGCACCGGCUAACUACGUG
rnacentral:rRNA from 1 species